rnacentral:rRNA from 1 species
GACAGAGGUGCCGAGCGUUAGGCGGAAUCACUGGGCUUAAAGCGUGUGUAGGCGGAUGGGUAAGUACCUUGUGAAAUCCCACGGCUCAACCGUGGAACUGCUCGGUAUACUGCUCGUCUUGAGCCAACUAGGGGCGACCGGAACAAACGGUGGAGCGGUGAAAUGCGUAGAUAUCGUUUGGAACGCCGAUGGUGAAAACAGGUCGCUGGGGUUGUGCUGACGCUGAGGAGCGAAAGCGUGGGGAGCGAACAGG